UACGGAGGGUGCAAGCGUUAUCCGGAUUCACUGGGUUUAAAGGGUGCGUAGGUGGGUUGGUAAGUCAGUGGUGAAAUCCCCGAGCUUAACUUGGGAACUGCCAUUGAUACUAUCAGUCUUGAGUACCGUGGAGGUCAGCGGAAUAUGUCAUGUAGCGGUGAAAUGCUUAGAUAUGACAUAGAACACCAAUUGCGAAGGCAGCUGGCUACUCGGAUAUUGACACUGAGGCACGAAAGCGUGGGGAUCAAACAGG
rnacentral:rRNA from 1 species